rnacentral:lncRNA from 1 species
UCCAGCAACCCAAAGUUGACUGGGAGACGACGGCCUAGACCUCUCACGAACACAUCGCAGCAUUCCCAAGCGCCUCAUCCUGCGGUACCUGUUCUUGACCUGUGGGGGUGUGAGACAGCAAGAGUGAGCUCACAUACGUUCAUCGCUCAACAAGUUGUGGGGAAUAAUGUGUAUGAACUCGCCAAAGGUGGGAGCUCAUGUGAAGUGUAAGGCUUACCAAAGAGGAUGGCUGAAGCUGAGCAUUGCUUUUAAAGUUGGUCAAAAUUUUAUUAGCCAUUACUAAGUAUAAGUAAAUACCAACCCAAUUAAAUAGUAGAACAGAAGUAACAACAUCACCUGCGAUGCAAUGCAUAUGACAAAUUGAAUUUAAGUUCCAUAGAUUAAUCAUGUGAGUGUCCGAGCUGCUCAUGACCGUGAGCACGGCUAGUAUACCAGUUUUACACUCUGCAGAGGUUGCGCAUCUUUACCCACAAGUCAUGUUACCCAUCUGCCAAGGAAUCCCUUGCAGGACCGCCAUCGCAGCAAAAUCCUCCCGAGGGCCUCCCUACACUGACCACUCCCCUACUGCCCUUGCCCCUUUCGGGUAAGGUAGUCUUCCACUAGCUUUCCUAAUUAAUCGGCCAAGGGCGUCCCAUUAAACCCUUGUGGUAGCACUGUUUUCCCGGGUGGUUCUCCAUGUUCCAAUUAACAUAAUGAUCUUAUCAUGAAUAGUAAAUAGCAACUGAUAACAAAAGUAUGAAUAAUAUGUAUCUCAAUGCCCAAAUCCACAUAUAGCACUAGCAAGUACUACCCAGAAAGUUUAGUGGUAAACAAGGCAUAAAGAUAGACAAACUAGGGUAACCUAUUAGGUCCCAUCAAAUUAUCCUAUGCAGAUCAUUAUGAUUAAUUAGAACAUGAGUGGGUAAAAGAAGUGAUCAAGGGCACAACUUGCCUGGGACUUGAGAUUCCAGGUACCAACUUGCUCAUCAGGUGACACGUGUCCUCACGCUAGUCGAAGCAAUACAAACAAAUAUGGUAUAUGCAAAAUUAACAUCACACCAAACAUAAGAACAAACUGCAUAAUGAUAAUUUACUCGUCGUAACGAUACCGUGGGUUCGAGAACCACUAAAUUCGGAGCUACGGUUAUUAAGUUAUGAAUUUCCGAAGUUAUUAAGUACUUGGCACAGGAUAAAUUAAGUAACCAAUUUUAAAUCUAUGUUUCCUGUCUAAACAGAGUUACUAGGUGAUAAAGAAUAUUAAAACAAAAUUAAUGUAACUGGAAUGGAUUUAAAAGGAGCUAAAAUGAAUUUUCUAUACAUUAAAUGAGUUUCAAGAUUUAUUUUUAUACUAACAAUCAAUUUAUAAUAUUAAUUAUCUAGUUUUCUCUGUUAUCUGGACUGUGCGUCAUUUACUAAGAAGCUUGAGGUUUAAUUCGCAAAAGCUACCAGACUCAGACUACUCCCGCGGGGACGGCGGGUUGAUUUGUGAAAAAUGCAGGGUCUCUUUAGCAAAUCGUCCAAGACGAAGGGGUACGGGUAGAAUUCAACCGUUGGAUCGGCAUUUGAGGGCUCGGAUCAUCCCAACCGAAGGGGUAUCUCGGUGUUUUAAUCACAGCCGCCCAGGCCAGAUCAACGGUCGUCGUUCGUCUCCCACGCCCGCGCUCGCCAGAACGCUACGACACCAUCGCAGAGCGGCGGCAGGUUCGCCGGAGACAAACCCAUCGACGACCAGACGCGCGAUUUCCUAAGUAGCCUAAUCCUAUACAAGAAUGGAGAUCAACCAACGGCCUUAGGAGUAACUUACCAAAAUUUAAGGCAGUAAUGAAAUCCGUCCGUGUGAGUGGCGGCACGGUGGUGGAAUUAGACCUCCGUUGAGAAAUUCCGGCGAGGAGUCCGUCACGUUCUACGUGGUACUGCGCCUUGAUGUCGUCUC